rnacentral:rRNA from 1 species
UUAAAAAGCUCGUAGUUGAAUUUCGGGAUCAAUAUGUCGGUCGUGCCUUCGGUACGUACUGGCAUCAUUGGUUUCUCCCUUCUGACAAACCAUGAUGUCAUUAAUUUGGUGUUAUGGGGAGUUAGGACUGUUACUUUGAAAAAAUUAGAGUGUUUAAAGCAGGCAUUAGCUUGAAUACAUUAGCAUGGAAUAAUGAAAUAGGACGUUUGACCCUAUUUUGUUGGUUUCUAGGAUCGACGUAAUGAUUAAUAGGGAUAGUUGGGGG